UUUUGUUUUUCUCUCCGUGCGUGCACGCGAAAGUGGAGUUUCCCGAGUUUCCUUUCAUUUGUAAUAAAGAAAAAAGUAUCCAAAGAAAGAAGAAAGAUCGCAAAGAUAAGUUGAUUAAAAUUCCAAGCAAUUCAAGAAAAUACUACAAGUGAAUUUUUAUUAGGUACAUUCCGUGAGAAAAAGCCCCAAUCCGAUAAUGGUCCGCAUAGUGAGAUUGCCCUAGAUGUUCCGGAUUCAUUUAUUGCACGCAAUAAGACACCACCGCGAUACCCACCACCUCGUCUACCGAUUCAGCUAAAUGGAUCAGUAAAGCCAAUUCCACCACCUCGUGAAUGAUCAAAAGACCAGUAUGGUCGUUUGGUGAAUCGUACAUCAUCUCCACAAGUGCCCGAUCAUAUAAUAACACUUCAGCAACAAACACCGGGUCAAAUCGCACAAAUUGUCGAACCAACCCCCGAAUAAUUGGAUAACAUUAGGAAAUUCCAGGAGCAGCUCAGACGACGACGAGAAGAGGAAGAAAGAGUAGCGCAAUAGAAUGAAUUCCUCAGAGCAAGUUUACGUGGUUCACGCAAGCUACAAUCACUACCGGAUGGCUCAGUGGUCAUCAAUCCGAUUGGGGUGGAGAAUAAAGCCUAUCUGGAGGAUGAAGAAUUGGCAGGAAUACGCAAUGAGGGUAAAGCCAUGGUCAUUGAACGAAUUGUUCGUGGAGGUGCAGCAGAGAAAUCGGGACUCCUGCACGAAGGUGAUGAGAUUCUCGACAUGAAUGGGAUUGAGAUGCGGGGGAAGAGUGUGAAUGAUGUGUGUGCCCUACUGAGUGCAAUGACGGUACUCUUUCCUUCCUCAUUGUCCCAGUUGGGAGUCUACAACCUGGUGGCGGUGGUCGCGAUCCACCAGUUCUGCAUGUACAUUUGUUGAGUAUUGAAGUACGUAAAAUGAUUUUUUUGGAAAUAAAAAUGUUG